CCUGGCUCAGGACGAACGCUGGCGGCGUGCCUAAUACAUGCAAGUCGAGCGGACCGACGGGAGCUUGCUCCCUUAGGUCAGCGGCGGACGGGUGAGUAACACGUGGGUAACCUGCCUGUAAGACUGGGAUAACUCCGGGAAACCGGGGCUAAUACCGGAUGCUUGAUUGAACCGCAUGGUUCAAUCAUAAAAGGUGGCUUUCAGCUACCACUUACAGAUGGACCCGCGGCGCAUUAGCUAGUUGGUGAGGUAACGGCUCACCAAGGCGACGAUGCGUAGCCGACCUGAGAGGGUGAUCGGCCACACUGGGACUGAGACACGGCCCAGACUCCUACGGGAGGCAGCAGUAGGGAAUCUUCCGCAAUGGACGAAAGUCUGACGGAGCAACGCCGCGUGAGUGAUGAAGGUUUUCGGAUCGUAAAACUCUGUUGUUAGGGAAGAACAAGUACCGUUCGAAUAGGGCGGCACCUUGACGGUACCUAACCAGAAAGCCACGGCUAACUACGUGCCAGCAGCCGCGGUAAUACGUAGGUGGCAAGCGUUGUCCGGAAUUAUUGGGCGUAAAGCGCGCGCAGGCGGUUUCUUAAGUCUGAUGUGAAAGCCCCCGGCUCAACCGGGGAGGGUCAUUGGAAACUGGGGAACUUGAGUGCAGAAGAGGAGAGUGGAAUUCCACGUGUAGCGGUGAAAUGCGUAGAGAUGUGGAGGAACACCAGUGGCGAAGGCGACUCUCUGGUCUGUAACUGACGCUGAGGCGCGAAAGCGUGGGGAGCGAACAGGAUUAGAUACCCUGGUAGUCCACGCCGUAAACGAUGAGUGCUAAGUGUUAGAGGGUUUCCCGCCCUUUAUUGCUGCAGCAAACGCAUUAAGCACUCCGCCUGGGG
rnacentral:rRNA from 1 species